GAUGAACGCUGGCGGCGUGCCUAAUACAUGCAAGUCGAGCGAACAGACGAGGAGCUUGCUCCUCUGACGUUAGCGGCGGACGGGUGAGUAACACGUGGAUAACCUACCUAUAAGACUGGGAUAACUUCGGGAAACCGGAGCUAAUACCGGAUAAUAUAUUGAACCGCAUGGUUCAAUAGUGAAAGACGGUUUUGCUGUCUCUUAUAGAUUGAUCCGCGCCGCAUUAGCUAGUUGGUAAGGUAACGGCUUACCAAGGCAACGAUGCGUAGCCGACCUGAGAGGGUGAUCGGCCACACUGGAACUGAGACACGGUCCAGACUCCUACGGGAGGCAGCAGUAGGGAAUCUUCCGCAAUGGGCGAAAGCCUGACGGAGCAACGCCGCGUGAGUGAUGAAGGUCUUCGGAUCGUAAAACUCUGUUAUUAGGGAAGAACAAAUGUGUAAGUAACUAUGCACGUAUUGACGGUACCUAAUCAGAAAGCCACGGCUAACUACGUG
rnacentral:rRNA from 1 species